UUUUCCUUUAACAGCAUAUUAUAAUCCACUGAGUUGAUCACUGUUGUUAUUCGAUGUUUAAGGUCAUUGAGGUU